rnacentral:rRNA from 1 species
UGGAGUGAUUUGUCUGCUUAAUUGCGAUAACGAACGAGACCUUAACCUGCUAAAUAGCCAGGCUAGCUUUGGCUGGUCGCCGGCUUCUUAGAGGGACUAUCGGCUCAAGCCGAUGGAAGUUUGAGGCAA